CACAAAUCAGAUUUGAAUCUAAUGC
rnacentral:piRNA from 1 species